rnacentral:lncRNA from 1 species
AAGGGGAAAAUACGGAGCGAGGUGCGAGAAAAAGAAUCCUGUCCUGUAGGGAAGGUCCCUCCAAAAUACUCGAGAUACUCUUGGAGUUCCUGAAUCUAUUCUCUGAUACUUUAAAGAGGAACAAUCACCCUUGGAGAAUAACAUCUACUGAGAGUUGAGAUGCAAACUUAGGGUGUGAAUGGAAAGAUUAAAGUGUGAUCAACUGUCCUUCUCCUGGUAUCACCUUAAGGAAUAU